rnacentral:lncRNA from 10 species
GGACUAGUACACAGCUACUCUGUGCCAAGCUGUGAAUAUGAUCUGUGGUCCUUAUCAUGACUCAUUUCCAUUUUACAGAUGGGAAGACUGAGGCUCCGAGAGGCUGGGCCUCCCCACGGCCCGAUCUCCACGGUUGUUUUAUGGAAGGUGUCAGCUCCCUGCUCCAGUCUCUGGCCUGAUGUGGUUAUUAGGAACAGCUACAAGAAGAGACAAAACACAGGCAAGAAGGCGGAGGGCGAGGGUCCCUGAGGCAGCUGCCCAGAACGUGUAAAGCCUCAUUCCUUGUGUCACUGGAGCAAACUCUCCGCUCCUGCCAUCGCUUCUUAUUUAGGACUGCAUAAUCAUUAGGAUGCGUAUUUGGAAACAAUUAAAAAUGAGCUGCCAAC